GAUAACGAGGAUGGAAAAUUUUUAAAAUUUAAACUUACGUAGAGCGUAUCAAGAGGAUAGAUUCAACAUUCAAAAUGAAAUCUCCAAAUCUGGCUGGCACUCUUUCUCAAGAAACCCUACAUACUCCUCAGUGACUAAAUUCAGAUCAUCAAGGUAUGGAUUUCACCCAUUUACAUCUUAAUUUCCCUUCUAAUCAAGUGUUUUCUCCGUUAUCUUGAUAUAUCCGGGGCCAUGGUGACAAAAGGAUAAAGAAAAACAACAAAUAUGGAGUGGAUUAACUGAGGGAAGCUGUUCAUGUGAGGGCAAAGAGAGGGAAAUUUUAAUUGGACCUUCAUUCCUUCUUCACAUACACGAUAUUCUAUUUUGAGAUUUCGAAGAUUACAGAGGUAUGUUUUGCUUUUACAAGAACCCUAAUUACAAAAGUUGUGGCUUUUAAGAUAGGUGGCUACAAAGAUCUUGAAUGGUAAGGAACCAAAGUUCUGCAAAUACGAUGGUGCUCUUUCACAGUUGUCGCAAAAUGUUAAUGAGAAGUUGAAUGUGGUUGCUGAGUUGAUCUCGCAACUCUAGGAUUUCAAAUUGCAGUCGGAAGUUUAAUUUAUCUCCAUAUCGUGGACCUUCAUAAAAAGCUUGAUUUUUAUUGUUGAAGAAAAUGUAGCUGAUUAUCUAGCUUUUAUGUGUGGUUUAUUUUAAGCAAAUCAACGUAACGUCAAAAGGGUAAAUCACAUCAGGGAGCUUCCUCAAAACAGCAAAAUGGUAGUCAUGCACAGAGACAGUCUUGAUGUUCUUAUCAAGGAUGUUGAAGCUCAACCCAUCUUGAUCUGGUGAGUCGUUGUAGUUAGGGAGUGGCAAAGUAGAUUGGAAAAGGGUUUGUGCACAAUAAUAGAUAAACUGGUCCUUUUUCUAACACGUUCUUUUAUGUGCCUAUUAGUUGUGAUGACCGUCAAGGAUGGUGAGAGGGUUUCUAUAAUGGUUUCGCCAUUCAAUUUAGGUCGAACAUGUGAAAAUGGUUCAAAUACAUGCAACCUCUUAAAGUGACAUUAUUAAUAAAACUAGAUAAUUACUGUAAGGAUAUAGUCUUUUUAAUCAUAUAUUACUGUCGGUUUGUCAUCACUUAAAAUGUAACCAAGUGAGUUAUUUGAGUAAAAUAGACAAAAUUGUUUUUUGAUCAAUCCAAAUCGACCCUACUUGACCUAUUUUGACCAGUACUGAACUAUACCAAAACUGACCCAAGAUCCUUAACUAUCAUGCCCUAUGCGCCCCACCCAUUUUGACCCGUUUACUUAUGAACUGAUGGAUUCGGGUUCAUUGCUAACAAGUUAAAUGAAUCAAAUGAAAAGGGGUUAUGGUUCAAAAAUCAUUUAAACUGUGUUUUACAAGUUUACUACCUAUGGCAUUCUGACAGAUUAACUUAAAAUUUGAUUAUUAAUCAACAAAUUUGAUUCAACAUUCUUGAUGUAUGAGAAGAUGAAGCUGUAUUAGUUCGUUCUCUGGAAAUAUCAGAUGCAGAUGCAGUGGUGGAUGAUCAUGAUGAGGAGGACGCUGGGAUGGUGGAUAUUUUAAACGAAUUUGUUAUGAAUAUCAAAGCUUGCGAUGGCAGAAAUCAACUUGCACUGGUUGAGUAUGUUGAAGAUCCAUAUGCUAAUUAUAGAAAGAUAAAGCAGCCAUGACGACAAUAUGCAACAUUUAGCUACUUAUUCCAUUGGAUGGAGGGUAUACAAAGUUACCAAUUCUUUGUAAAGGGUAAAAACAUCGAAUCAUUUGUCGUAGAUAGAGAAAAGGGUAUGUUAAACAUUUCAGGUUGAGUCAUUCAUUUGUAGCCUUUUUUGGAGUCGCUAUUAAUUUUUAUUUUAUUCUUUGGUUAUUAAAAGUGAUUUAUG